AGAGUUUGAUCAUGGCUCAGGAUGAACGCUAGCUACAGGCUUAACACAUGCAAGUCGAGGGGAAACGACAUCGAAAGCUUGUCUUUUGAUGGGCGUCGACCGGCGCACGGGUGAGUAACGCGUAUCCAACCUGCCCACCACUUGGGGAUAACCUUGCGAAAGUAAGACUAAUACCCAAUGACGUCUCUAGAAAACAUCUGAAGGAGAUUAAAGAUUUAUCGGUGAUGGAUGGGGAGUGCGUCUGAUUAGCUUGUUGGCGGGGGUAACGGCCCGACCAAGGCGACGGAUCAGUAGGGGUUCUGAGGAGGAAGGGUCCCCCACCAUUGGAACUGAGACACGGUCCAAACUCCUACGGGAGGCA
rnacentral:rRNA from 1 species